CCGUAACCAAUUGAAUGCUGAGGGGGUUGAGUCCGGCAAGAGUCUGCCGAGCGAACUCUUCAUCCCUGAACCAUGAGAACUUGUCUCCUACACAUAUCACAUACACAAGGAAGGAAACUUAGAGAGAGAGAGAGAGAGAGAGAGAGAGGUGUGGAUGACAUACUCUCAAUCAUUUCAGGGGGCUCAAAGCGCAAGAGCUCCUCCCCACCCUCUUGUAGAGUCUUAAUGAGCCUGGGCAGCAGCAGUUUAAAGAUUCCUUUAGCCUCGUUGGGUGGUGGGGGUAAGCUCAGCCCAUCAUCAAAGAGCAAGUCAAUGUCCGUGAAGAA